rnacentral:misc_RNA from 1 species
UCCUAGUUAACCUAGGCAGUCUCAUUAGAGUCCCCACCUUCACGUGUUGGCAACUAAUGAUAAGGGUUGCGCUCGUUGCGGGACUUAACCCAACACCUCACGGCACGAGCUGACGACAGCCAUGCAGCACCUAUACAGCGGUCCUUGCGGAACACAUCAUUUCUGAUGCUGUCCACUGCAUUUCGAGCCUGGGUAAGGUUCUUCGCGUUGCAUCGAAUUAAACCACAUGCUCCACUGCUUGUGCGGGCCCCCGUCAAUUCUUUUGAGUUUCACCCUUGCGAGCGUACUCCUCAGGCGGUAUACUUAUCGCGUUAGCUACGACACAGCCAGGGUUGAGCCUAACUACAUCAAGUAUACAUCGUUUACGGCAAGGACUAC